UCGAAACAAAGUAGGUGCAACGGAAGUUGCACCUACG
rnacentral:rRNA from 1 species